GCCCCCAUAGCUCAGCCUGGAUUAGAGCGUUUCCUUGCGGAGGAAAAGGUCCGGAGUUCAAAUCUUCGUGGGGGCG
rnacentral:tRNA from 1 species